CAGCCGCCACGGUAAUACGGAGGGGGCUAGCGUUGUUCGGAAUUACUGGGCGUAAAGCGCACGUAGGCGGUUUGUUAAGUCUGCUGUGAAAUCCCCGGGCUCAACCUGGGAAUGGCAGUGGGUACUGGCAAGCUAGAGUGUGUCAGAGGAUGGUGGAAUUCCCGGUGUAGCGGUGAAAUGCGUAGAGAUCGGGAGGAACAUCAGUGGCGAAGGCGGCCAUCUGGGACAACACUGACGCUGAGGCACGAAAGCGUGGGGAGCAAACAGGAUUAGAUACCCCAGUAGUCCCUGUCUCUUAUAC
rnacentral:rRNA from 1 species